UUUUUUUAAGUAUAUUCAUUAUUUUGUUAUUUAAAGAUAUAUACUGCUACUUGCCUCCCGGGAUUUGUGAAACACAUAUCAAGAGGUAAGUCUAAGAAAUGUAAUCAACGAUCAGAACAAAAUAAAAGGAAACAAAUCAAAUAGAAGAAGAAAAGAUUAUGUAUCUAUAACUGCUCCUGAGAACUUGCUACCAUAAUCAUCCGCUUCAAGUUGAAUCUUUACCAUUGAAGUCAUCCUCUCUUGGUUCUCACCAUGCCGCUCGUCUUCAUGGAUCUAUCCGACCAUUUGCACACCGGUCGUCUUCCUAGUCACCAAUCUUUGUUUGCAUCUAUAUCAAAUGUGUCGUUGUCAUUCUGAGUUAUUGUCUUUUAGGACGACCUUGACAAAGGUAAUGCUUUUUUAAUUUGUUUUGUUCUUUUGGGUUUGUCUGUCUAAUUUGUUUUGUGUUUAAUCAAUUACUGAUGACUUUUUUUUUUGUUACUGAACUCUAUUGGAGGAUUGAUUGUAUCAAAUGUGCUCCAACUGUCCAUAUUGAUGCCUUGAUUGAUUUUUAGGUAUAUACGUUGGUGUUUGUUCUCUUAUUCUUUCUAAAGGGUCUAGUGUUCUCAAUUAUAAGUUUGAGUGUUAUUCUUAUGUUUAAUUUAAUUAGUUUUCCAAUGAACACUUCUAUCAAGUACGUAAAGGUUUAUUUAACUAUAGUGUAGGUACAUAAUUGUUUUUAUAUUUACAUUUGUAUUAAUAUUUAAGCUUAGAAAUUAUAUAAACAAUAUAUAAGGUUGCUUUUAGAAUAUCAAUCUUAAAACAAACAAAUUGGUAUCGCAUACUACUAAAUUGUUAAUCAUAUAGGAUAAGCUUAUCGUUUAGAGUUUGCUCUCAUUGAAAACAAUUUGGAUACUUCUAUGUUUCUAAAAUGUUAAUCAUAUAGGAUAAGCUUAUUGUUUAGAGUUUGCUCUCAUUUGAAAACAAUUUGGGUACUUCUAUGUUUUGGCCCCCUAUUUCUAUUGCUCAUGUUUUGUCCUUUGGUCUAAGAGCCUUUUUUUUUUUUUUCUGGCUCAUCCUGGAUAUUUGAAUCCUCAUGACCGGCCCUGAUGACGAAACAUGAAUCAAGUUAUGCAUCGGUGCCAUCAAGUUAUCACUCCUAGCAUUCCAAACAUAUACGACAAAUCGUAGAAUUCUGUGACUUUAGUUUAACAGCUGAGAAAGUGAGUAAUAAUUAGCAAUAUCACUGUAUUGCAUAAUUGUAUAACUUUGGGGAAAAUGACAAAAAAGAAUAAAAGAUUAUGCAUAAUUAUCCAAAAAGAAAAUUAAAGUGACAUUUCAUCUUCUCUGUUAAGCAAAACUCAACUUAUUCGAUUCUCCUAGCGCACUGUUGUACUUGAUGACAUACCACACCAGCUAGGUUGUGUCAGCUAGCCAGAGUGGACAGAAGUGCUAGGAUUGAAUAACCAAUAAGUUUAUCAAAAUGAAUCAGCUUGUUUAGUCGAGCGUCUGUGAAUUUUUUGAUAGACCCACUGGAUUAAAGAUCCACACUCACGUCCGUUGACAUUUUGGCCUUUGGAUGGGUAGGAGGGAAACAUGCUUGUGUGGAUCUUAAUGGAGUCUUCCCUUUCGUCAGUUUGAGGAACUGGGGUUUCACAGCGGGGCAUGCCGCUUUGACAAUCGUCUCAUGCAAAAUGGCAAAGCACGAGAAUGCAUUCAUUGAAAAUUAACAUGUGUUUAUAUCUUUUGUAUUUGAUACUUUUUGGUUUUCUCGCACUAGAGGUGGCGGAGCUCCUCAACAGAGUUCAAUGAGUCAUGUAUUCUAAUGUUAUCAUGGGCGGAUCUAUAAUAGAUCUCGGGGUAUCCCGAGAUACCCCUGAAAAAUAAAUUCG
rnacentral:lncRNA from 1 species